rnacentral:rRNA from 1 species
UACGGAGGGUGCUAGCGUUGUUCGGAAUCACUGGGCGUAAAGCGCGUGUAGGCGGCCUGUUAAGUCUGAUGUGAAAGCCCGGGGCUCACCCCCGGAAGUGCAUUGGAAACUGCCAGGCUCGAGUCCCGGAGAGGAGGGUGGAAUUCCUGGUGUAGCGGUGAAAUGCGUAGAUAUCAGGAGGAACACCGGUGGCGAAGGCGGCCCUCUGGACGGUGACUGACGCUGAGACGCGAAAGCGUGGGGGGCAAACAGG